AUGGUCGAAGAGUCCGACAAGGAUAUUCAGAAUCUCAAAUUCCUCCUCCUAUGCUUUCAGGAGUUGUCGGGCCUUAUGAUUAACUUCGCCAAAAGUAAGGUGAUGGUCCAGGGAUAUUCCCAUGCCGAAGCCCAGAGAAUCGCCAACCGCCUAAAUUUUCGUCUGGGGUCUGUCCCGACCACUUAUUUAGGCAUGCCCAUUAGUGACACGCGUCUCCUGGAGAAGGUCUUCCGCCCAAUAGUCGCCAAACUCCAACCAAGGAUGGAGCCUUGGCAGGGGAGAUGGUUAUCCAAGGCCGCGCAAGUGAUUUUGAUGAAUUCCUCCCUCAUUAGCCUCUUGAUGUACCUCAUGGGAUUCUAUAGUCUUCACGAAUCCCUCCAUAAGGAGGUCACCAAGCUCCUCUCCGGAUUCUUCUGGGCUGGAGAGAAUAAUAAACAACAGUACCACAUGGUGAAGUGUUCUGAGAUUUGUAAGCCCGACCAAGGGGGCCUUGGGGUCAUCUCAUCAAAGCGAAUGAACAUAGCCCUCCUCUCCAAAUGGCUCUGGCGUAUCCAGACCGGUGAGAGAGUCUUGUGGUUGGUGAUUAUUCGCGCAAAAUACCUGCACGGGCAACCGUUGGCCUUCGCUUCUCGUUUUGGAGGCUCCCAAUUCUGGCAAACGGUGGUCCGGUUGAUGCCGAUCUUGCGUAUUGGGACCUCCAUCAAAGUGGGGUCCGGAUCAGGCACCCUGUUUUGGCUGGAUAGGUGGGCUGGGAAUCGGCCCUUCGCGGAGCGUUUUCAUGCCUUAUUCUCGAUUUGCGCCCACCCAUAG
rnacentral:rRNA from 1 species